CCUCACUCAAGAUGGCGUUCGCAGGGCCCGGCGCUGGGACGGGCGGGGCGGCGCCCCGAGUAAAGAUGGCGGCGCCCGCCCGCCGCCGGCACCGGCCUGCGCUUGCCCGCGCUUAAAAUGUUCGGUGUGAGGGCCCGCGCCCCAGCGGUGUGGGGAUGGAUGGUGGGGACCCCUGAGGUGGCUCCCGCAGCGGGGCUGGGGCCGCUGUAGGUGCUGGCACCGCGGGCAGGACUCGCCCUGAACCAAGCGGCGGGGCCGGGUGAGGUGAACCCUCCCCGCUCUUCCAAACACCCACGGUAUAGCAUUGGCCCACCCGGCGACAUCGCACCUCCGGGUGUCCCCGCUGGUGUCUAGAGUUUGCUGGGGACUUGAAAAAUGUGUUGAAAAAGGCCAGCAGAAGUUAAAGGUGUGACCUGCCGAACCCAGACUGGUGCAUCCCGUGUCAUCCAGGUGGGCCUGGUGUGCUGACGCUGCGUCCAGCACACCCACAGCAGUCGGAUUAAAGAAACAAUUUGAAAAUCUUACCCUAUUUUCACAUAAAAACUGCAUUGUUAAAAAUGCUCUUUAUUUCAAUUUUUAAAUGGAUUCCGAAUUCCUGGAGCAGGCAAGCUUUUCAUCAGCAUUUGCUCUUCACAAGGUUUCUCUGGUGUUUGAAGGCAUCAGUUUUCCACUUAUGAACUGCUAAGGGAUCCUGCAGUGUUUACAGGACAUGGAGAAGUCCUUUGCAUUAAACACAUCCAGGAAAAGCAACACUACUGUCCCAAGUUUACAUCUGCUCAAGAAGCGUUUCCUGAAAAACAAGUAGGUACCUAAAAACUAGAAAAGCAAACCUAAAAAGCUGGAAAAGCAACUCUGAAAUAGUACUGAGGAGAACAUCAUCACUACCCAUCUUUUCUGGAAGCCUUUUGCGUUUCCUGGGCAUUUUUUUGAUGCAUGGUGACUUGUCUGGAGCCUGUCAGUACCAAAGAGGGCACCAGAUAUUCCAAGAAUCCCUGGAAACGUGGAUUUAAAACGUGUGGGUGGCUGACAAAGAGCUCAGCCAGCGACGUGAAAUAUUGCCAUCUAACAGCUUUUGGGGGAGAUUUUGCAUAAACUGAAUUGGCAGCCUGGAGUUCAGCGGGCAAAGCAUGCAAAUGAAAAUUGAUACUCCUCUCGGCGGCUGGAAGCGAAGGGGCAGGGCCGGAGCGCGCUCCGGGAUGAACUCAGCCCUCGGAGAUGGAGACGGAGGUGCACUGAUGGGAAAAGUGCCCGGCUCUCCUGUCUGCGGCGCGUCCCUGGCGUGGAUAAAUACACCACUCGCUGUUCAUCACUGUCAGGAAAAUUGUCACUUCUCACGAGCGCCACAUUAAUUAGAAGUGAGAGUUGGGGCCGGGGAGCUGAGCGCUCGGAAUCCUUGGGAAGGGGGAUGGAGUGGUGUGUUCUUAGCGUGUCGUGAGCUCCGGGGCGACUGCUGCCGCUCAGUGAAACCAAACGGGUGCCAGAACGAGGGGAAAUCAAUCUGAACUCGUGAGACAUUGAUUUCCAAACCUCUUGUUGCCCCGUUCAACCAACGGGGCCGUGUAAGGUCAGCAGACAGGCUCGUCAAACUGUGUAGCAGAAUAAAAAUUGUAUUUAUCGACUUUAA